rnacentral:rRNA from 1 species
AUUGAACGCUGGCGGCAGGCUUAACACAUGCAAGUCGAGCGGGGUGAUGGUGCUUGCACUAUCACUUAGCGGCGGACGGGUGAGUAAUGCUUAGGAAUCUGCCUAUUAGUGGGGGACAACAUCUCGAAAGGGAUGCUAAUACCGCAUACGUCCUACAGGAGAAAGCAGGGGAUCACUUGUGACCUUGCGCUAAUAGAUGAGCCUAAGUCGGAUUAGCUAGUUGGUGGGGUAAAGGCCUACCAAGGCGACGAUCUGUAGCGGGUCUGAGAGGAUGAUCCGCCACACUGGGACUGAGACACGGCCCAGACUCCUACGGGAGGUAGCAGUGGGGAAUAUUGGACAAUGGGGGGAACCCUGAUCCAGCCAUGCCGCGUGUGUGAAGAAGGCCUUAUGGUUGUAAAGCACUUUAAGCGAGGAGGAGGCUCUUUUGGUUAAUACCCAGAAGGAGUGGACGUUACUCGCAGAAUAAGCACCGGCUAACUCUGUGCCAGCAGCCGCCGUAAGAC